AAGAAACUUUAUCGCACUUUAUUAGUAUAUAGGAAGAUAUAAUAGGCGUAAGCUACGCGUAUUGCUUUAAACACACAAAUAGCGCGUGGGUAUUUCUUUAUAUAAUACUCCAUUGUUUUAUAAAGAAUAAUCCUUCAGGUAUUUUCUGUUGAAGCAAUCUAAGUAAAACGAAAUCCGAAUCGCAAUUGCUGAUUGGGUAAGCUUUCUUCCUCUUUCCUCUUUCCUCUGUAUAAUAUAUGUAUGAAUAUACGUAUUUCUGUACAUAAAUUUCUUAAAGGCAUGGGGUGAUCGAUGCAAGUUUUUGUUUUUUCUUUUCUGGAUUUUUUGUGUUUUCUGUGUUAAAUUGUUCAUUAGUUUGUUAUUGUUGAUUGCCUGAAUUUUUUUUUGAAUAAUUUUUAUAAUGAAAUCUCAUCAAUUUAUAAUUUUUUUAAUAAAAUUAUUAUAAAAACCGCAAGACUACUGAUCAAUUUCAACUUUAUAAUCUUCAAGCAGUCUUUUUAAUUUUUAUAAUAAAAAUUUUCUGAACAAAAGUUGAAUUUUAUCUGCAGUCUUUAUAAAUUUAAUGUUUGGAUCUUUUCUAAUUGUGUGCUGCAUGAUGCAUCUAUUUUUCGUCUAUUGUAGUAGGUAAUUGGGUGGUUGGUUGUUGGGCAACUUGGGCUAUUAAGAUGAAUGAGUUUGGUUCAUCGUUGGGAAUUGUCUAAUAACAUUAAUUUGCAAAUGUUGUUUCAAUUCAGGAUACUUUUGCAAUGUAAUGGAUGAUACAAGUUGAAGACAAAAUUUCAAAAAAAGAGUUAUAUAAUUUUUUCUGCAUAUUGUGCAAAUUACAAUUAAGGAUGUAAUGGUACAUUAAAUGUAAUGAAAAGGACCAAAGCUGUGUAAUCUGCUUAUAGACAAAGCAAAUAGGGUGAAUUAUCACAUCAAUGAAACAUAGCAACGUAGUGCGAAGAAGGAGAAACGUCGCAUCAACGUAGGGCGCCAUUACAUUACGUUGUUGUUACCCAACAAAACACAUCCUUUUAGCUAACCAAACUCAUCAUAUAAUAAUUUGUUUACCAAAGAUUUUUGUACAAGUUGAACUAUUUUUUAUCUGUAUAUAUACAAGUGUAGUUUAUCUUAUGCUUAGUAAGUUGGUAAUCUAUGGAGAUGACGAAAUCAUGU
rnacentral:lncRNA from 1 species